UCCAGUGAUCAUCUUUAAGUUCCUUGUGUACCAGACACAGAUUCCUAAAUGUUAGAUAAGAAAAACUUCUACAUGGAUGCUUCUCAACUUUCUUAGUCCUUCAGGCUCUAAUUUAUUCCUGGAGAUGCAUUAUAACUCUUCAGUUUCCAUCAACACUGGGCAUAAACUUCUUGAAAGAAUGUAAUGGCUACCAACAAUGAUCCCAAGGGUGAUUUAAAAAAAGUUGUUUUUUGCCUGGCACAUACUGUGAAAACCUAUCCGUGAAUAACUGAAGAUAUUCCUGGCAGUUGCCUUUCACAGGAUACAACAUUUAAAAGUGACAUCUUACUCCGAGACAUCUUACUAUGAUAUGGACAAUUUUUGCGCUUGUUGAUGUUUGGCACCUAGCACCGAAAAGAGUAUAUCUGAAAACUGUGCAACACUAUUCUCACUAACCAUAAUCUGGAGAAUCUUGCAGAGCAGUAGCACCCCGUGAAGGCGAAGCUACUGCAUCAGGUCCUGCUUCCUGAAACCCUGGACUUCCUCAUUUAAACUGAAAGCAGCUUUUGAGACCAAUCUCUGUUUUCAUAAACAAGUAGUUUAAGUUAAAUUUCAGAAGGUCAGUUUCCACUUUUUUGAAAGCUUCUAUGAUAUACAUACUAGAUGUAGUAUCUAUGGCUUCUAUGCCACUCAAAAGCACUUUGAAUUUUUUCACUUUUUGAUUCCUGAUUUUUGUUCUUGUGGAUGCUGAGUAGUAGAGCAAACACAAACUCAAAAUAUCUUUAUACUCACAA